rnacentral:ncRNA from 1 species
AUCUUCAGGGCGGAGUGCGAUUCUCCACCGGCGGUAAAGCCCGCGAGCCCGAGGCGGCAGCGCCUCGCGCAGAACCGGUGAAAAUCCGGUGCCGACCGUAUAGUCGGGAUGGAAGAAGGUG